rnacentral:lncRNA from 1 species
AAACCAGGAAGAAGUUGAAUCUCUGAAUAGACCAAUAACAGGCUCUGAAAUUGAGGCAGUAAUUAAUAGCCUACCAACCAAAAAAAGUCCAGGACCAGAUGGAUUCACAGCCAAAUUGUACGAGAGCUGCCAAGAGGAGAUGGCACCAUUCCUUCUGAAACUAUUCCACAACAAUGCAGUAUUACAUUAUACUGUACAGGAAGUGUCUUAGUCUGCUCAGCUGCCAUAGAAAAUACAUAGACUGGGUGGCUUACCAGAAAUUUAUUUUUCACAGUUGUAGAGGUUGUGAAGUCCAAAGUCAAGGUGCUGGCCAAUUUGGUUCUUGAUGAGGGUUCUCCUCUUGGCUUGCAGACAGCCACCCUCUCACUAUGUCCUCAGGUGGCCAGAAAAGACAGAGAGACCUCUGGUGCCCCUUCCUCUUCUUUUAAGGGUACCAACCCUAUCAGAAUAGGGCCCCACCCUGAUGACCUUAUUUAACCUUUAUCACCUUCUCACAGGUCCUGUCUUCAAAU